rnacentral:rRNA from 1 species
UUCGCAAUGCCCGAAAGGGUGACGAAGCGACGCCGCGUGGGUGAGGAAGGCCUUCGGGUUGUAAAGCCCUGUCAGGAGUUAAGAAAUGUAAGUGCGCUAAUAUCGCAUUUAUUUGACGAAGGCUCCAAAGGAAGUCACGGCUAACUCUGUGCCAGCAGCCGCGGUAAUACAGAGGUGGCAAGCGUUGUUCGGAAUUAUUGGGCGUAAAGAGCACGUAGGUGGGUUUGUAAGUCAGAUGUGAAAGCCUUCUGUUCAACGGAAGAAUUGCAUCUGAAACUGCAAGUCUUGAGUAUAGGAGGGGAGAAUGGAACUUCUGGUGGAGCGGUGAAAUGCGUAGAUAUCAGAAGGAACGCCGGCGGCGAAAGCGAUUCUCUGGCCUAUUACUGACACUCAGUGUGCGAAAGCUAGGGGAGCAAACGGGAUUAGAUACCCCGGUAGUCCUAGCCGUAAACGAUGGGCACUAAGUAGAGGGGUUUU